rnacentral:tRNA from 1 species
AGCCGGGUGGUGUAGCGGCCAAGCAUGGCGGGCUCUGGACCCGCCGACCCAGGUUCGAAUCCUGGCCCGGCUA